ACUGCCUAGAAAUGACGAAAAUUAUGUUGGUAGGGACAUCUGAGAUACAUUGAUGAAUACCAACGUCUCUGAUCUGGCUAA